rnacentral:lncRNA from 1 species
CUUUACACUGUUUUACUGUUAACAAUCAGUUCUCUGUUUACCUCUGGUUCUAAUGGGGUUAUCAGAACAUACAGAGCAUGAAAACAAAGGUCAAGGUCUCUUAGAUUACUUGCAGGCAGAGAUUUUGCCAGUGCUCUGAUCAAAAUGGGUGUGAGGAAGAGGCUGUAUUAACACACUUUCCUAUGCUAAUAGACCUCUGUGAUGGGUUUAAAUAUGAGGAUAUCACUAAGGUGGUAAACAUGCACAACUUUCAGGAUGAAGGAAGGAGAAAUGAAAACCCCAUCCUUUGAUGAGUCUUCUAGUUUAUACCAGAAGAGGGAACAACUUCACAACCCUCUCCAGACUGACUUGCUCCAGCUAAAUAGAACUAAAAAGCCAUUUCUUGGAAUGUUUUCUACAGAGUCCAAAUGCAGAGAUUUUUUGAUCACUGGAGACUGAACCCUAACUCCCUGCACGGGAUGCAGACCAUCUCCAUCUUCAUCAGAAACUGCCAAUGUGACUGAAGAAAUUUAAGGAACUGAGGAACUUUGUGUCACAACCAGCUCUUGAAGACUCCUCAGGGAGUGCUAUAAAAAUGAGUUUUUUCCUAGUCCCAGAGACUCAGAUACCACACCAUCCCCUCCAGAUUUCGUAUUGCCUACCUCAUGACUUUACCUUUUGAUGAUUUUAUGUGCAGUUUUGUGGGUCUGAAUUUUGUUCUCUCCAAGCUACAUAGCUUUUCCCAGUAGAGAAGGAACAUUGAAGAGCACUUGGUAUCUCAAGUUUCUCUGCCACGGGGGAACUAGGAUUUGGUAGUGCAGGUGAUAGCACCAUGGCAAAGAGAGGAAGAAACAUCUCUUGUUUAAGUUCCUUUUGUUGGCUUUGCUGACUUGGUAGAUCAGUUUAGCUUGAAAGAUGCUCUUGGCAAAUGUAUUUAAGUAAUUUGGAAGUAAUCUGAAGUAAUUUUGGUUUUCCUUUCUCAGCGGACUUGUUAUGUGUUUUAGUAGUGAUGCCUAGGUAAUUAUUUGGCAUUUUGGAAAUGGUUGUAUGUGAAAACUUUAAAAUUUUCAUGUUUAAAAAUGUUGAUGGAGAAAUGCCAUGAAGUUUAUUACAUGUGCAGGUAUAUGUAGAUAUAUAUACAAUUUAGGGAGUUGGAGACUGAUAUGAUGGGGGUGCUUAAGAUGCUGAAAAACAGAACAGUUCUGAGGUUUAGAAAAAGACAUUACCAAAUUCUUUCAUUAAAACCUUCACAAGUUAUUAGUUAUCAUCCCUGCAUCUACAUAGCUGUUAGUAUUUAAUAUUUUUUUUUAAUACAUGACCAUCCUUCUAAUGUAUUUGGAAUUAUAUUCUGCCUAUUUGCAGUCUCUUGUUCUUAUUUUGUUUUUUAAUUUGUUUUUACCUGUAUCCCUUCUACAUUAAACCAAUCACGUCUUUGCCCAUUUUGUGUCACAAUGCUCAC